CCGUGAAAUUGGGGUCAAAAGUUUAAUUUGUCUUUAAAAUUAGAAAGAUCAUAUCAUAGGGAACAUUUGUACUAAGUUUCAAGUUGAUUGGACUUCAACUUCAUCAAAAACUACCUUGACCAAAAACUUUAACCUGAAACUCGAACUUUCAUUUUCUAUGUUCAGUUUACCGUGAAAUUGGGGUCAAAAGUUUAAUUUGUCUUUAAAAUUAGAAAGAUCAUAUCAUAAGGAACAUAUGUACUAAGUUUCAAGUUGAUUGGACUUCAGCUUCAUCAAAAACUACCUUGACCAAAAACUUUAACCUGAAGCGGGACAGACGGACGAACGAACAGACGGACGGACGAACGGACGGACGAACGGACGGACGGACGAACGGACGCACAGACCAGAAAACAUAAUGCCCCUCUACUAUCGUAGGUGGGGCAUAAAAAUCAG
rnacentral:lncRNA from 1 species